rnacentral:rRNA from 1 species
ACAAGCGGUGGAGCAUGUGGUUUAAUUCGAAGCAACGCGAAGAACCUUACCAGGUCUUGACAUCCUUUUGAAUGGUCUAGAGAUAGAUCAGGCCUUCGGGACAGAAGAGACAGGUGGUGCAUGGUUGUCGUCAGCUCGUGUCGUGAGAUGUUGGGUUAAGUCCCGCAACGAGCGCAACCCUUAUCAUUAGUUGCUAACAUUCAGUUGAGAACUCUAAUGAGACUGCCAGUGAUAAACUGGAGGAAGGUGGGAUGACGUCAAAUCAUCAUGCCCCUUAUGACCUGGGCUACACACGUGCUACAAUGGCCGGUACAAAGAGUUGCGAAACUGUGAAGUUAAGCUAAUCUCAUAAAGCCGGUCUCAGUUCGGAUUGUAGUCUGCAACUCGACUACAUGAAGUCGGAAUCGCUAGUAAUCGCGAAUCAGAAUGUCGCGGUGAAUACGUUCUCGAGUCUU